rnacentral:lncRNA from 1 species
GAUUCAGCGACGCUCCUAGUUUUUCCUGUAACUGUGGUGACUCAGAAGCCCAGCAAUGUGAUGGUGCAGGCUGGAAAAAUUUUUUGGUAGUAUCUUAAAAGUUUUGUUAGUUCGAUUUCAUGUGAAUUAGAGUUUUGAGAAUGGUUGUCCUAUUUAUGUUCAUACCAUUCCUGUGUUCGGAUAUAGUUAAGAGGGAAUGCACAUGAUAUUUACCUAUUCCAACAAACAAACAACGCCUUCAUGACAAUGUAUGUCAUCAUGCAGGGUUAAAACCUUUUCCUGGUUUCAAGAGGAAGUUGAGUAACAACUUGCUGAUAUCACAGGAAUUUUCAGACGGGUAUGUUAGCUCUAAUACCAUGACAAUUCCGAAGAGAAAGCACUUUUAUACUACUGAAAAUCCCGUUACCUGGGGAGAGAAUCCACUUGGUAACGCAAUAGACGAUUGCACGGAAAUUGUUAAGCAUAACAGUCCAUAUGGUUGUACAAUGUCAUCUUGCGCAGUUGAAGGCAGCCUUUCCAAGGGUCUUGCUCGAAUUUUUUCAAGUGGUCGUGUUUACGUUAUGACCAGGAUAGAAGUCUCUCAUAUACAUGAGAGUGUGAUGCAGUGAGUGUAAUGGGUUUGUGAGUUACAUAAAUGUAUGUUCAACAAUUCUUUUUUACUUUUUGUGAGAUGGAGGGCCACUAGUGCUUCUCUAGCUUGGUGUAUCCCUAAUAUUUUUCUUGUAUGGUUUAAUGAAGAAAUAAAGCUCCUGUUUGAAAUGUGUGGUUGAAAAUUGAUGAAAG